rnacentral:lncRNA from 10 species
AGAAAGGGGGCUGCUGCUGCUGCGUGCAGACACACUCAUGCACACCCACGCACACACAUGCAAACACACACAUGCACACCAUCCUUCGAGCCCACAGGCAGAUCACAGAGAACCUAGAUGUCAGGAUGAGAAAGGAACUAGACGUGAGCUAUCAUCUGCCUCCUUGGGGCAAGGCCUGUGCCAAGGGAUUUGCCAGGAUUGUCUCAUCCAAUCCUGAAAAGAAGCUUGGAGAUUUCAGAGAUGAAGAAAAUGAGCAUCUGAGAGCUUAAGGGAGAGACUCAACCAAAGGGACACCUGGGGACGCUAAAGCCCAUGAAGCUGAGCACAGGGCCUGGCAGCCAGCAUGGUGGAGGCAGCUUAGCAGAGCUGGGGGGUCGCUCUUGUAUUUAUGUUUUUUUGUUUUGUUUUUGAGAUAGGGCCUUGCUCUGUUGACCAGGCUGGAAUGCAGUGGUGCGAUCAAGGCUCACCGCAGCCUUAACCUCCUGGGCUCAAGCCAUCUUCCCGUCUCAGUUUCCCAAGUAGCUGGGACCACAGGUACACACCACUAUGCUCAUCUAAUUUAAAAAAAAAUUUUUGAAAAUACAAAAAAAUUAGCCGGGCGUGUGGCAGGCACCUGUAGUCCCAGCUACUUGGGAGGCUGAGGCAGGAGAAUGGCAUGAACCUGGGAGGCAGAGCUUGCAGUGAGCCGAGAUCACGCCACUGUGCUCCAGCCUGGGCGACACAGCAAGACUCCCAUCUCAAAAAAAAUUUUUUUUUGUAGAGACAGGGUCUUGCUAUGUUGCCCACGCUGGUCUCCAACUCCCAGGAUCAAUCGAUCCUUCCACCUCAGCCUCCCAAAGUGCUGGGAUUCCAGGCGUGAGCCACCACGCCUGGCCGGUGUGGUUCUUUUAAGGGACAGCCCCCCUCAUUUCCAUUUGCUCCAUGGGGCUACAGGGGUAUUGCCCUGUGCUGGGCAGGCUCCUGACCCAGGCCUGUCCCAUCAGGAGUACGGUGAUCGCUACAGGGCUGGGUUGGGACCCAGCUCCAGCCAAAGAGAGGCAAACCUAGGAUUCUGCUGGAACCCGUGGUAGACACAAGCUGGAGGUUCACAGGUCUGUGACAUCAGGGCCUCCUCUCAGGAAGCGCUGGCCCAAGAGCAAAGCGAAAACGGAGGAAACCUGGCUGGGAGAUGCAAGCCAGUGUUCCUGUGAGCACUGGACCCAGCUAGACCCUCGGCCUCUGCAGUUACACGAGCUGUCAAGGAACUGGUCUUUAUUUCAUUUAUUUACUUAUUUAUUUAUUUUUUAAUUUGUUUUUGAGAUGGGGGGGUCUUGCUCUGUCACCCAGGCUGGAGUGCAGUGGUGCAAUCUUGGCUCACUAUAGCCUCCACCUCCUGGGCUCAAGCAAUCCUGCCUCAGGAGUAGCUGGGACUACAGGCCCGCACCACCACACCUGGCUAAUUUUUCUAUUUUUUUGUAGAGAUGGGGUCUCACUAUGUUGCCCAGGCUGGUCUCAAACUUCUAGGUUCAAGUGAUCCUCCCACCUCAGCUUCCAAAAGUGCUGGGAUUACAGGCAUGAGCCGUUGUGCCUGGCCCAGAAACUGGUCUUUGAAUCCAGGUCUGAACGCUGAAGCUCAUGCUCUCUUCCUUGCGCCCCAGCUGUCCGCAUAGAGGCUCUGAUAGAUCAGGGGCUCAGGCAAGUCUGGGGAGGGGGCCUCACCUCCCUCCCAGCCCCUGGAGGGAGUGUUGGACCCUCUCACCCCCCUCAAAGCAGUUCCAUUGCUCCCUUUGACCUUCAAAGUUGGCAUCUGCUUGCAGGAAUCUGUCUCUCUCCUCCUGGAAUUCAGCCUCCAGAUGUCAGAUCCGAGGCGGUGGCGGCAGCAUAUGGCUCCCCUCAGAGUGAAUCAGCCACAUUCCAAAGGUGCACACACAGACGCCACACCCUCAGCAGCCUGGCUGCAGACUUCCUCCCAGCCCCAGCACCCGGCACCCGCCCCAGCCCCCACCUCUUCCCAGCCAGACCCGACUUCGGGCUUCCUUUCCAGAGACUUUCUCCUGGAACUGGAACAGAGAGAAAGCCACUAGGGCUGGAGACACCCUGAGCAGCCCUGCUCUGCUCACUCGCUCCCAACCGCUCACAGCUGUUAUCAAUAUAUCUAUGGUGCAUCCACUCAACAGGUGUGCACUGAGCACCUAUGAUGUGGCAGACAAGAUACAGACAAGCCCCGAACCUCACGGAACUCAGCUGGGCAAGAGCCCAACAAAAUCAGGUCCAGAGGCAGAAAAGAAUUCCAAGUGUGGGAAGAGCUAUAAAAGGAAGAAACAGGCCUGAUUGUGACAAUCUACUCAAUAGGGUGAUUUUGAAGAUUAAACAUAGUAAUACAAAACAAGUUAUUCUGUUUGCCAAAGACAUUACAGAUGAGGUCAUGUAGCCAAUACCAUGCCAGGAAACCAAAACUCACCUCAAGAAAUCUGUUGGGUGGGACGGGCAUGGUGGCUUAUUCCUGUAAUCCCAUCACUUUGGGAGGCCGA